AAGAAGUCAGGCCGGAUUAAGCCAUAGUACGGUAAGAGCUAUGCUGCCUGUGAGCCCCGUCUAAGGACGUAAAAUGAAGUCAGGCCGAAAGCCACGGCUUGAGCAAACCGUGCUGCCUGUAGCUCCAUCGUGGGGAUGUAAAAACCUGGGAGGCUGCAACCCAUGGAAGCUGUACGCAUGGGGUAGCAGACUAGUGGUUAGAGGAGACCCCUCCCGAAACACGACGCAGCAGCGGGGCCCAACACCAG
rnacentral:lncRNA from 1 species